rnacentral:lncRNA from 1 species
GCUCUGCGCCGCAGUCCCAGCGCCCGCGAGCCGGAGCGCGAGCAGCAGCCGGCGUCGCUGCGGCCGCGGCUGAAGGACCUGCCUACACUGCUGCGGAGCGGGCUCACGCUGCGGAGAAAGCGGAGUGCCGCCGGGGGCCGGGACCGGACGGAGCCGGUGUGGGUUCCAGAACGCCUGACAAGAAGAGUCCCGACAAAUACAUCUGAGUUAAAUAUCACCACUUUGGCUAUAACUUCCCAGGUGUCACUCCCGGUGGCUUUUCCUAACGCUAGUAAUGCCACCUAUUUUAAGGCCUCUCCUUAUUGUACCCCGUACUAUUCUUUCCCCCCGACAUUCACGCCUUGUCAAGAUCAUUCUUGGGAGAAGCGCCAAGUUGCUGUGGGUUUCUCUCUUUCCCCUUCUCUUAAAAGGUAUUUGUAUAACUCUUCCAAGGCUAAUUCCACUACAGGAACAGGCUGGUCUUGGUUUCAAUGGUUGAUUUCCAAUGAAAAGGGGGCCACAGCCGAUGUCUCUGCUCUGGCUCAAUUGAGAGGAGUCCAGAGUUGGCUGUUUAAUGUGUCUGGCUCUGUACAGGACACUGUUAAUGGUAGGAGGCUUAAAAACAUUUCAUACAAUUCUCAGGUGUCCAAUGCUACACUGCCCUCUGCAGCAGUCUGUCUUCAUUCUCCGUUUCUGUUCCUUUUGAUCAAUGAUACCAAUACUACAGAAUCGGAAAUGAUUGACUGUUCUAAUUGUACAUGUGUCUUGUCUGAGUGUUGGAAUGGAUCC